GUAUUGUGGGGACCACCUCCUCGAGAGGUGUUGGGCAUUAGCCAGCAACGACGGCUUGCACGCGAGAUCUAGACCCCUUCGUGCAGAUAACCAAGCCAGCCGUCGCAGCAAGCCAGGCCAUUUUUUUGG
rnacentral:ncRNA from 1 species